rnacentral:siRNA from 1 species
AGCGUAGAAAGUGGAGCUUGCCA